AAACCAAAACAUAUUCGACUAAA
rnacentral:snRNA from 1 species